rnacentral:rRNA from 1 species
GAUGAACGCUGGCGGCGUGCCUAAUACAUGCAAGUCGAGCGAACGGACGAGAAGCUUGCUUCUCUGAUGUUAGCGGCGGACGGGUGAGUAACACGUGGAUAACCUACCUAUAAGACUGGGAUAACUUCGGGAAACCGGAGCUAAUACCGGAUAAUAUUUUGAACCGCAUGGUUCAAAAGUGAAAGACGGUCUUGCUGUCACUUAUAGAUGGAUCCGCGCUGCAUUAGCUAGUUGGUAAGGUAACGGCUUACCAAGGCAACGAUGCAUAGCCGACCUGAGAGGGUGAUCGGCCACACUGGAACUGAGACACGGUCCAGACUCCUACGGGAGGCAGCAGUAGGGAAUCUUCCGCAAUGGGCGAAAGCCUGACGGAGCAACGCCGCGUGAGUGAUGAAGGUCUUCGGAUCGUAAAACUCUGUUAUUAGGGAAGAACAUAUGUGUAAGUAACUGUGCACAUCUUGACGGUACCUAACCAGAAAGCCACGGCUAACUACGUGCCAGCAGCCGCGGUAAUACGUAGGUGGCAAGCGUUAUCCGGAAUUAUUGGGCGCAAAGCGCGCGUAGGCGGUUUUUUAAGUCUGAUGUGAAAGCCCACGGCUCAACCGUGGAGGGUCAUUGGAAACUGGAAAACUUGAGUGCAGAAGAGGAAAGUGGAAUUCCAUGUGUAGCGGUGAAAUGCGCAGAGAUAUGGAGGAACACCAGUGGCGAAGGCGACUUUCUGGUCUGUAACUGACGCUGAUGUGCGAAAGCGUGGGGAUCAAACAGGAUUAGAUACCCUGGUAGUCCACGCCGUAAACGAUGAGUGCUAAGUGUUAGGGGGUUUCCGCCCCUUAGUGCUGCAGCUAACGCAUUAAGCACUCCGCCUGGGGAGUACGACCGCAAGGUUGAAACUCAAAGGAAUUGACGGGGACCCGCACAAGCGGUGGAGCAUGUGGUUUAAUUCGAAGCAACGCGAAGAACCUUACCAAAUCUUGACAUCCUUUGACAACUCUAGAGAUAGAGCCUUCCCCUUCGGGGGACAAAGUGACAGGUGGUGCAUGGUUGUCGUCAGCUCGUGUCGUGAGAUGUUGGGUUAAGUCCCGCAACGAGCGCAACCCUUAAGCUUAGUUGCCAUCAUUAAGUUGGGCACUCUAAGUUGACUGCCGGUGACAAACCGGAGGAAGGUGGGGAUGACGUCAAAUCAUCAUGCCCCUUAUGAUUUGGGCUACACACGUGCUACAAUGGACAAUACAAAGGGCAGCGAAACCGCGAGGUCAAGCAAAUCCCAUAAAGUUGUUCUCAGUUCGGAUUGUAGUCUGCAACUCGACUACAUGAAGCUGGAAUCGCUAGUAAUCGUAGAUCAGCAUGCUACGGUGAAUACGUUCCCGGGUCU